rnacentral:rRNA from 1 species
CAAUAGCGUAUAUUAAAGUUGUUGCAGUUAGAACGCUCGUAGUCGGAUUUCGGGGCGGGGCGACCGGUCUGCCGAUGGGUAUGCACUGGCCGGAGUGUCCUUUUUGCCGGAGACCGUGCCUACUCUUAACUGAGCGGGGGCGGGAGACGGCACUUUUACUUUGAAAAAAUCAGAGUGUUUCAAGCAGGCAGCUCGCUCUUGCAUGGAUUAGCAUGGGAUAAUGAAAUAGGACUUUGGUGCUAUUUUGUUGGUUUCGAACACCGAAGUAAUGAUGAGAAGGGACAGUCAGGGGCACUCGUAUUCCGCAGAGAGAGGUGAAAUUCUCAGACCCGCGGAAGACGAACCACUGCGAAAGCAUUUGCCAGGGAUGUUUUCACUGA